UACGUAGGGGGCAAGCGUUGUCCGGAAUUAUUGGGCGUAAAGAGCGUGUAGGCGGUCCGGUAAGUCGGUUGUGAAAGUCCAGGGCUCAACCCUGGGAUGCCGAUCGAUACUGCCGGACUAGAGUCCGGAAGAGGCGAGUGGAAUUCCUGGUGUAGCGGUGAAAUGCGCAGAUAUCAGGAGGAACACCUAUUGCGAAGGCAGCUCGCUGGGACGUAACUGACGCUGAGACGCGAAAGCGUGGGGAGCAAACAGG
rnacentral:rRNA from 1 species